rfam:Gossypium arboreum cultivar AKA8401 contig_16101_3, whole genome shotgun sequence.
CCUGAGGAAGCGCUUUGUCCACAUCAGCAGAAAACGCUUCCUUGAGGACGCGAUUUGUGCUGAUGUGGACAAAGCGCUUCCUCGGGG